AUGCCAGAUGGUGCGUGGAUAGCUGUAGAAUGCAAUCAUCUUGGCCAGCCUAUUGGGGACGAAGGUGGAGUCCUGGGGAAAUUUCUUGGCACAAUAGCUAGACUUGGGGGCUAUUGUCCACUUGACAAAAAGGACUGGCGUAAUGUCCAGAAGGAUGGUGGGGCUGACACAAUACUUCAGUGUGUACAAGAAAAUUUUCAAACCGUAGGUAAUGGUGAAUCCCAUCCAGAAGUACUACAUAAUAAUAAAAGAAAGAGAGUUCAUGCAAAUGGACCUGAUGCAGAACACAUAGUGGUCAAACCCAGAGAUACAGCAAUGAAUAAAACUAACCCACAUCAGCAUGGCGUGCACGAAGAUAAUGACAUUCUGUCAGGCAAACAGAAGCAUCAUCUUGAAAAUGAGGGUUGCAAUAAAUUCUCAUAUCAAGUACCAUCAUCACCAGCCCAUCCUGUUUUUGAUAGAGAGAUGAGAAAGAGCAGGGAGAAUACGGAUGAAAAUUUGACUAGAGUACACAAACAAAGCCCUCAAGACAAGCCAGUAGUCCAUGUGUCCUCUAAGCAGAAACAUAGUCCUUCUAGGGAGGUUGGCACAAAAGUGAUUCUGAAGUCUUCAAUAUAUCCAAACAAAAGGCAUGUGGCACAUGCUAGCAUUUUGGGUUGCAAUUCAAAAACAAUGGUUGGUGGUGUUGAGCUAGGUCGGCAGUUCAUAAAAGUGCAAGUUGAUCAACCUAUUGAGGAAUGUGAGCUCUUGAUUGAGAGGUUCAGUGGUUGA
rnacentral:rRNA from 1 species